rnacentral:rRNA from 1 species
UACGUAGGGUGCGAGCGUUGUCCGGAAUUACUGGGCGUAAAGAGCUCGUAGGUGGUUUGUCGCGUUGUUCGUGAAACCUCACAGCUCAACUGUGGGCGUGCGGGCGAUACGGGCAGACUGGAGUACUGCAGGGGAGACUGGAAUUCCUGGUGUAGCGGUGGAAUGCGCAGAUAUCAGGAGGAACACCGGUGGCGAAGGCGGGUCUCUGGGCAGUAACUGACGCUGAGGAGCGAAAGCGUGGGUAGCAAACAGG